GGCUGUAGCUUAGUGGCAGAGUGCUUGCCUUGCAUGUGUGAGGCACUGGGUUUGAUUCUCAGCACCA
rnacentral:tRNA from 1 species